rnacentral:rRNA from 1 species
UACGAAGGGGGCUAGCGUUGCUCGGAAUCACUGGGCGUAAAGCGCACGUAGGCGGCUUGCUAAGUCAGGGGUGAAAUCCUGGAGCUCAACUCCAGAACUGCCCUUGAUACUGGCGGGCUUGAGUCCGGGAGAGGUGAGUGGAACUGCGAGUGUAGAGGUGAAAUUCGUAGAUAUUCGCAAGAACACCAGUGGCGAAGGCGGCUCACUGGCCCGGUACUGACGCUGAGGUGCGAAAGCGUGGGGAGCAAACAGG